rnacentral:rRNA from 1 species
UCCGCCUACGGGAGGCAGCAGUGGGGAAUAUUGCACAAUGGGGGAAACCCUGAUGCAGCGACGCCGCGUGAGUGAAGAAGGUUUUCGGAUUGUAAACUAUUGUCGUGAGGGAAGAAAUUGACAGUACCUCAGGAGGAAGCUCCGGCUAACUAUGUGCCAGCAGCCGCGGUAAUACAUAGGGAGCAAGCGUUAUCCGGAUUUAUUGGGUGUAAAGGGUGCGUAGACGGGAAAUUAAGUUAGUUGUGAAAUCCCUCGGCUUAACUGAGGAACUGCAACUAAAACUGAUUUUCUUGAGUACUGGAGAG